rnacentral:rRNA from 1 species
UACGUAGGCCGCGAGCGUUGUUCGGAUUUACUGGGCGUAAAGCGUGCGUAGGCGGUGGCCCAAGUCUGGUGUGAAAUCUCCCGGCUUAACUGGGAGGGUGCGCCGGAAACUGGGUUGCUGGAGGACCGGAGAGGCAAGCGGAAUUCCUGGUGUAGCGGUGAAAUGCGUAGAUAUCAGGAGGAACACCCGUGGUGUAGACGGCUUGCUGGACGGUCACUGACGCUGAGGCACGAAAGCGUGGGGAGCAAACAGG